rnacentral:rRNA from 1 species
UAAUAAUUUGCCUUAUAAUUUGAGGCUAGAAUGAAUGGUUUGACGAAGGUUGAUCUGUCUCUACUCUAUUUUUUAGAAAUUAAUUUUUAAAGUGAAAAAGCUUGGAUUUUUUAAAGGGACGAGAAGACCCUAAUGAGCUUAUAAUUUUAUCUUUAUUUCUAAUAUUAGUAAAUAAAGUAUAAAUUUUAAUUGGGGUGAUUAAGGAAUAAGUAUAAUAACUUCCUUAUAUUUAAUAUUGUUAGAUAAAGUAACCAAUAUAUUAUUGCUUAUAAUAUAGUUACCAUAGGGAUAACAGCGUAAUUUGUUUAGAGAGUUCUUAUUGAAAAACAAGAUUGCGACCUCGAUGUUGGAUUAAAGUAACCUUAAGGUGCAGAAGCUU